UUCAAAGAUUCCUUCGGGAGGAUUUGUUGGANNNNAGCGGCGGAUGGGUGAGUAACACGUGGGCAAUCUGCCCUAAAGACUGGGAUACCACUUGGAAACAGGUGCUAAUACCGGAUAACAACAUGAAUCGCAUGAUUCAAGUUUGAAAGGCGGCGCAAGCUGUCACUUUAGGAUGAGCCCGCGGCGCAUUAGCUAGUUGGUGGGGUAAAGGCCUACCAAGGCAAUGAUGCGUAGCCGAGUUGAGAGACUGAUCGGCCACAUUGGGACUGAGACACGGCCCAAACUCCUACGGGAGGCAGCAGUAGGGAAUCUUCCACAAUGGACGCAAGUCUGAUGGAGCAACGCCGCGUGAGUGAAGAAGGUCUUCGGAUCGUAAAGCUCUGUUGUUGGUGAAGAAGGAUAGAGGCAGUAACUGGUCUUUAUUUGACRGUAAUCAACCAGAAAGUCACGGCUAACUACGUGCCAGCAGCCGCGGUAAUACGUAGGUGGCAAGCGUUGUCCGGAUUUAUUGGGCGUAAAGCGAGCGCAGGCGGAAUGAUAAGUCUGAUGUGAAAGCCCACGGCUCAACCGUGGAACUGCAUCGGAAACUGUCAUUCUUGAGUGCAGAAGAGGAGAGUGGAACUCCAUGUGUAGCGGUGGAAUGCGUAGAUAUAUGGAAGAACACCAGUGGCGAAGGCGGCUCUCUGGUCUGCAACUGACGCUGAGGCUCGAAAGCAUGGGUAGCGAACAGGAUUAGAUACCCUGGUAGUCCAUGCCGUAAACGAUGAGCGCUAGGUGUUGGGGACUUUCCGGUCCUCAGUGCCGCAGCAAACGCAUUAAGCGCUCCGCCUGGGGAGUACGACCGCAAGGUUGAAACUCAAAGGAAUUGACGGGGGCCNGCACAAGCGGUGGAGCAUGUGGUUUAAUUCGAAGCAACGCGAAGAACCUUACCAGGUCUUGACAUCCUGCGCUACACCUAGAGAUAGGCCGUUCCCUUCGGGGACGCAGAGACAGGUGGUGCAUGGCUGUCGUCAGCUCGUGUCGUGAGAUGUUGGGUUAAGUCCCGCAACGAGCGCAACCCUUGUCU
rnacentral:rRNA from 1 species